rnacentral:sRNA from 1 species
UGAUUUUUUGUGAUAAUUCCAAAUGAGCUUCUCAUUGAGCUCAUUUUUCGAGC